CGAAGAACGCCCACUAGAAGGAAACCGAGAAUAACCCCACCUCGAAAGGAGAUGAACACACCGCCGGCAGCACACCCACUAAGCGCUGCAGGACUUCAAAAGAUACUGGUCUUCUAAUAUCCACCGAUUUCUUACCUCUCCUAAAGCCCCGUAAGGCUUGACAAAUAAGGAAAUGUUUUGAAACAUCCUCCCAACCAUUCAGCUUGAACAGAAAUGCCAAUGCCGCCAUAUUCCUGUGAGUCACCCUGGGUACCGUAACGGCUUAGCCAAGGCAACAUCGGCGCAACCUUCACCGGGGUUACCCCCAGUGGAAGUGGAUGGUGCCACUGCUCCGCCGGUAGAUGCAGACUUUGCCCACUUGAAGCACCUGUUGAGGCUGAGGGCCCCCCCGCUGCCUGAAAAUUCGUGCUUAAACUUACACGAGGCACCCCACUUGCAUUGUCCUUCAUUAAACGUCCAACAGAACCCUUUCUUUUGACUGGCCGAUGAAGAGGAGGUUGAUCCCACACCAGCCCCACCCUGAAAGGGCGCAGCUUUCUGAGCCAUCAUCAGUUUCUUCCAUAGAGGUAGGUCCAUCU